rnacentral:rRNA from 1 species
UACGAAGGGGCGAGCGUUGUUCGGAUUUACUGGGCGUAAAGGGCGCGUAGGCGCUUGUCAGUCAGGCGUGAAAGCCCGGGCUCAACCUGGGAACGGCGCUUGGGACGGCGAGGCUGGAGUUCGGGAGAGGAGAGUGGAAUUCCCAGUGUAGAGGUGAAAUUCGUAGAUAUUGGGAAGAACACCGGUGGCGAAGGCGGCUCUCUGGACCGACACUGACGCUGAGGCGCGAAAGCGUGGGGAGCAAACAGGG